UGGGGGAAUUUUGGACAAUGGGCGAAAGCCUGAUCCAGCAAUGCCGCGUGUGUGAAGAAGGCCUUCGGGUUGUAAAGCACUUUUGUCCGGAAAGAAAUCCUUGGCUCUAAUACAGUCGGGGGAUGACGGUACCGGAAGAAUAAGCACCGGCUAACUACGUGCCAGCAGCCGCGGUAACACGUAGGGUGCAAGCGUUAAUCGGAAUUACUGGGCGUAAAGCGUGCGCAGGCGGUUUGCUAAGACCGAUGUGAAAUCCCCGGGCUCAACCUGGGAACUGCAUUGGUGACUGGCAGGCUAGAGUAUGGCAGAGGGGGGUAGAAUUCCACGUGUAGCAGUGAAAUGCGUAGAGAUGUGGAGGAAUACCGAUGGCGAAGGCAGCCCCCUGGGCCAAUACUGACGCUCAUGCACGAAAGCGUGGGGAGCAAACAGGAUUAGAUACCCUGGUAGUCCACGCCCUAAACGAUGUCAACUAGUUGUUGGGGAUUCAUUUCCUUAGUAACGUAGCUAACGCGUGAAGUUGACCGCCUGGGGAGUACGGUCGCAAGAUUAAAACUCAAAUGAAUUGACGGGGUCAUAGCUGUUCCU
rnacentral:rRNA from 1 species